AGCAGCCGCGGUAAUUCCAGCUCCAAUAGCGUAUAUUAAAGUUGUUGCAGUUAAAAAAGCUCGUAGUUGAAUUUCGGGGUCAGUAGGCUGGUCGUGCCACAGGUAUGUACUGGUCUCACUGAUUCCUCCUUCCUGAUGAACCGUAAUGCCAUUAAUUCGGUGUUGCGGGGAAUCUGGACUGUUACUUUGAAAAAAUUAGAGUGUUUAAAGCAGGCUAACGCUUGAAUACAUUAGCAUGGAAUAAUGAAAUAGGACGUUCGAUCUUAUUUUGUUGGUUUCUAAGAUUGACGUAAUGAUUAAUAGGGAUAUUGGGGGCAUUAGUAUUCAAUUGUCAGAGGUGAAAUUCUUGGAUUUAUUGAAGACUAACUACUGCGAAAGCAUUUGCCAAGGAUGUUUUCAUUAAUCAAGAACGAAAGUUAGGGGAUCGAAGUACGAUCAGAUACCGUCGUAGUCUUAACCAUAAACUAUGCCGACUAGGGAUCGGAUGAUGUUAAUUUUUUUAAUGUACUCAUUCGGUUCG
rnacentral:rRNA from 1 species